UGGAAUCACUGGGGUAAGGGUGAUAGGCGGCUUUAAGUCAGAUGGGGAAUCCAAUGGCUAAACCAUGAACUCAUUUGAAACUGGGAGCUAGAGUUCAGAAGGGGCAGAUGGAAUUAGUGGUGUAGGGGUAAAUCCGUAGAUAUCACUAGGAAUAUCAAAAGCGAAGGCGAUCUGCUGGGAUGUACUGACGCUGAGGACGAAAGCGUGGGGAGCAAACAGGAUUAGAUACCCUGGUAGUCCACGCCCUAAACGAUGAAUGCUAGUCGUCGGGGAGCUCGUCUCUUCGGUGAUGCACUUAACAGAUUAAGCAUUCCGCCUGGGGAGUACGGUCGCAAGAUUAAAACUCAAAGGAAUAGACGGGGACCCGCACAAGUGGUGGAGCAUGUGGUUUAAUUCGAAGAUACACGAAGAACCUUACCUGGCCUUGACAUGGUAGGAACCCUUAAGAGAUUAGGGGGUGCUAGCUUGCUAGAACCUACACACAGGUGCUGCACGGCUGUCGUCAGCUCGUGUCGUGAGAUGUUGGGUUAAGUCCCGCAACGAGCGCAACCCUCGUCUUUAGUUGCUAACAGUUUGGCUGAGCACUCUAAAGAGACUGCCUUCGUAAGGAGGAGGAAGGUGAGGACGACGUCAAGUCAUCAUGAAAACGACGGCCAGGGCUACACACGUGCUACAAUGGGGCGUACAAAGAGCUGCAAUACCGCGAGGUGGAGCCAAUCUCUUAAAGCGUCUCUCAGUUCGGAUUGUUCUCUGCAACUCGAGAACAUGAAGCUGGAAUCACUAGUAAUCGUAGAUCAGCUAUGCUACGGUGAAUACGUUCCCGGGUCUUGUACUCACCGCCCGUCACACCAUGGGAGUUGAUUUCACCCGAAAUCGGGAUGCCAAACUGGCUACCGCUUACGGUGGAAUUAGCGACUGGGGUGAAGUCGUAACAAGGUAACCA
rnacentral:rRNA from 1 species